AACGAACGCUGGCGGCAGGCUUAACACAUGCAAGUCGAACGCCCCGCAAGGGGAGUGGCCGCCGGGUGAGUAACGCGUGGGAACAUACCCUUUCCUGCGGAAUAGCUCCGGGAAACUGGAAUUAAUACCGCAUACGCCCUACGGGGGAAAGAUUUAUCGGGGAAGGAUUGGCCCGCGUUGGAUUAGCUAGUUGGUGGGGUAAAGGCCUACCAAGGCGACGAUCCAUAGCUGGUCUGAGAGGAUGAUCAGCCACAUUGGGACUGAGACACGGCCCAAACUCCUACGGGAGGCAGCAGUGGGGAAUAUUGGACAAUGGGCGCAAGCCUGAUCCAGCCAUGCCGCGUGAGUGAUGAAGGCCUUAGGGUUGUAAAGCUCUUUCACCGAUGAAGAUAAUGACGGUAGUCGGAGAAGAAGCCCCGGCUAACUUCGUG
rnacentral:rRNA from 1 species